AUCUAUUUGAUGAGUCUAAAAUAGGACGAAACACGCGUCCUGAAU
rnacentral:hammerhead_ribozyme from 1 species